GAUGAACGCUGGCGGCGUGCCUAAUACAUGCAAGUCGAGCGAACGGACGAGAAGCUUGCUUCUCUGAUGUUAGCGGCGGAAGGGUGAGUAACACGUGGAUAACCUACCUAUAAGACUGGGAUAACUUCGGGAAACCGGAGCUAAUACCGGAUAAUAUUUUGAACCGCAUGGUUCAAAAGUGACAGACGGUCUUGCUGUCACUUAUAGAUGGAUCCGCGCUGCAUUAGCUAGUUGGUAAGGUAACGGCUUACCAAGGCAACGAUGCAUAGCCGACCCGAGAGCGUGUACGGCCACUCUGGAACUGAGACGCGGUCCUGACUCCUACGGGCGGCAGCAGUAGGUAAUCUUCCGCGAUGGGCGAAAGCCUGACGGAGCAACGCCGCGUGAGUGAUGAAGGUCCUCGGAUCGUAAAACUCUGUUAGUAGGGAAGACCAUAUGUGUAAGUAACUGUGCACAUCUUGACGGUACCUAAUCAGAAAGCCACGGCUAACUACGUG
rnacentral:rRNA from 1 species